UGAGGAAUAUUGGGCAAUGCCCGCAAGGGUGACCCAGCAACGCCGCGUGGAGGAUGAAUGUCGUAAGAUUGUAAACUCCUGUUAGAGGGGAAGAAUAGUACCGGUUGGACCGGUAUAUGACUGUACCCUCAGAGAAAGCCCCGGCUAACUACGUGCCAGCAGCCGCGGUAAUACGUGGGGGGCAAGCGUUGUCCGGAUUUACUGGGUGUAAAGGGCGCGCAGGCGGGAUAAAAAGUCAGUGGUGAAAUCCCACAGCUUAACUGUAGAACUGCCUUUGAUACUUUUAUUCUUGAGUUCGGGAGAGAGAGACGGAAUUCCAGGUGUAGUGGUGAAAUACGUAGAUAUCUGGAAGAACACCAGUUGCGAAGGCGGUCUCUUGGUCCGACACUGACGCUGAGGCGCGAAAGCGUGGGGAGCAAACA
rnacentral:rRNA from 1 species